AGGAGCCGAAGAAGGACGGGACUAACACCGAUAUGCUUUGGGGAGCUGUACGUAAGCGUUGAUCCAGAGAUUUCCGAAUGGGGGAACCCACUAUCUUUAGUCGGAUAGUAUCCUUACGUGAAUACAUAGCGUGAGGAAGGCAGACCCAGGGAACUGAAACAUCUAAGUACCUGGAGGAAGAGAAAGAAAAAUCGAUUUCCUGAGUAGCGGCGAGCGAAACGGAAAGAGCCCAAACCAAGAAGCUUGCUUCUUGGGGUUGUAGGACACUCUAUACGGAGUUACAAAAGAAAGUUAUAAAUGAAGCGGUCUGGAAAGGCCCGCCAAAGACGGUAACAGCCCGGUAGUUGAAAUGGCUUUCCCUCCAGAGUGGAUCCUGAGUACGGCGGAACACGUGAAAUUCCGUCGGAAUCCGGGAGGACCAUCUCCCAAGGCUAAAUACUCCCUAGUGACCGAUAGUGAACCAGUACCGUGAGGGAAAGGUGAAAAGCACCCCGGAAGGGGAGUGAAACAGUUCCUGAAACCGUGUGCCUACAAGUAGUUAGAGCCCGUUAAUGGGUGAUAGCGUGCCUUUUGUAGAAUGAACCGGCGAGUUACGAUUUGUUGCAAGGUUAAGCGGAAAAAGCGGAGCCGUAGCGAAAGCGAGUCUGAAUAGGGCGCAUAAGUAACAGGUCGUAGACCCGAAACCAGGUGAUCUACCCAUGUCCAGGAUGAAGGUAAGGUAAUACUUACUGGAGGUCCGAACCCACGCACGUUGAAAAGUGCGGGGAUGAGGUGUGGGUAGCGGAGAAAUUCCAAUCGAACUUGGAGAUAGCUGGUUCUCUCCGAAAUAGCUUUAGGGCUAGCCUCGAGGUAAAGAGUCAUGGAGGUAGAGCACUGUUUGGACUAGGGGCCCUUCUCGGGUUACCGAAUUCAGAUAAACUCCGAAUGCCAUGUACUUAUACUCGGGAGUCAGACUGCGAGUGAUAAGAUCCGUAGUCGAAAGGGAAACAGCCCAGACCACCAGUUAAGGUCCCCAAAUAUAUGUUAAGUGGAAAAGGAUGUGGGGUUGCUUAGACAACCAGGAUGUUGGCUUAGAAGCAGCCACCAUUGAAAGAGUGCGUAAUAGCUCACUGGUCGAGUGACCCCGCGCCGAAAAUGUACCGGGGCUAAACAUAUUACCGAAACUGUGGAUGAACCUCUUUAGAGGUUCGUGGUAGGAGAGCGUUCUAAGGGCGGUGAAGUCAGACCGGAAGGACUGGUGGAGCGCUUAGAAGUGAGAAUGCCGGUAUGAGUAGCGAAAGAAGGGUGAGAAUCCCUUCCACCGAAUAUCUAAGGUUUCCUGAGGAAGGCUCG
rnacentral:rRNA from 1 species